UAGCUGAUUUCCAAAUUAUACAUCAAAGUAUGACCUCGUCUAGUUAAGGAGAGUCCUUCGUAUAAAUGCACUGGUGUGUGUGUGUGUGUGUGAAUGUUAUUGCUAGUUAUCUCUCUCUCUCUCUCUCUGUCAGUAGUUGCACAGGUCUUCAAGGGUAUUUUUACGGUUUUAGUGACAGAUUAACAACAUUUCUACAUUAAUAACAGGAGAAACACCAUUGAAAACCCUGAUAAUCAUCUUUAUAGCUUUGAAAAACAGUCGUGAAGAGAGAGAGAGAGAGAGAGAGAGAGAGAGAGAGAGAGAGAGAGAGUAGGAGCAUUUCAGUUGAGCCUAUUCUGCCCUGGUUCGUGUUUGCUGCGGUGACACGGUGCCGCACUGAGUGAAGAUUGCGUUCAUAAUCACUUAUCAGGGGUGGAGUGGGUAAAGGAGAGUCAGGAAGUGAGGAUAUUUAUAUAAUUUGACAUAUUAUUUGAUAGAAUGUCAACUUUUGUGUGUGUGUGUGUGUGUGUGUGGGUGGGUGGGUGUUGGAUCAGUGACAGGUGGCGCUGGGGAGUUACCACGGCGAGCGGCUGGCUGGCUGCAGUGUUUUGGUCAGCACUGGUCAAUCUUGCCCUACACGCUCUAUUAACCAGUGUUUCCGUCUUCCCGAUACCUUCUUCCUGCACCAAGCACCGUCAAGCAUCACCAGAGAGGCACGAGUACGUAAGCUAUCCAACAUCAGAACAGUAUAUGAAUAUGGCAAAUGCUGUUUUGACAUCAUUUCCUGCCAUCCUGAGAAAGAGUGAUCACGAGGAGCAUGAAUUGCAGCUGCAAUGGAAAUUGCGCAUCCAGCGCAAGUUUCAGAAUUAAAGAAAGAGGCAGGAUUCCUCAGUGACUGAGGUGACGUCAAGGAAAAAGAAGAUCCCUUGCAUAGCGCCAAAACAGACUACGUGUCCACUGAUGUAUGGAGUAAAGGCUUACCUUCCAACAAGGCCCCAUUCAGAAGAUGAUGAGUCAUUAGAGAGACAUAGACAGUGGCUUGCUCUACAUUGGAUGAAGAAAGAUCCCGAGUUAGAUAAGAUAAUCAAGAAGUUUCUGAGAUUAGAACCACAAGCGGAUGAACCAAACCCAAGAGUAGCAGUUUUGAAAGGGCUGGAGAAAUAUAGGCUCCCAAUAAUUGCAAUUCUCAAAAAAAAAGAAAAGCAGUUCCUCUGUAUAUGGAAACCUUACUUGAACUAUAUGACCACGAUGAAAGUCAAUGUGAGUAAUGUCUAGUUCAAUUUGUUCAUUUUGAGUAGCUGGUAGCAAUUUAAUAUAUGUAUCUUUUCAUCAUUAGCAAUGCAUCUUUCACUUUUAUAAGCCUAG